rnacentral:rRNA from 1 species
AUUGAACGCUGGCGGCAGGCUUAACACAUGCAAGUCGAGCGGGGGAAGGUAGCUUGCUACCGGACCUAGCGGCGGACGGGUGAGUAAUGCUUAGGAAUCUGCCUAUUAGUGGGGGACAACAUCUCGAAAGGGAUGCUAAUACCGCAUACGUCCUACGGGAGAAAGCAGGGGAUCUUCGGACCUUGCGCUAAUAGAUGAGCCUAAGUCAGAUUAGCUAGUUGGUGGGGUAAAGGCCUACCAAGGCGACGAUCUGUAGCGGGUCUGAGAGGAUGAGCCGCCACACUGGGACUGAGACACGGCCCAGACUCCUACGGGAGGCAGCAGUGGGGAAUAUUGGACAAUGGGGGGAACCCUGAUCCAGCCAUGCCGCGUGUGUGAAGAAGGCCUUAUGGUUGUAAAGCACUUUAAGCGAGAGGAGGCCACUUUAGUUAAUACCUAGAGAUAGUGGACGUUACUCGCAGAAUAAGCACCGGCAAACUCUGUGCCAGCCGCCGCCGUAA